UACGAAGGGGGCUAGCGUUGCUCGGAAUCACUGGGCGUAAAGGGCGCGUAGGCGGCCGAUCAAGUCAGGGGUGAAAGCCUGUGGCUCAACCACAGAAUUGCCUUUGAUACUGUUCGGCUCGAGACCGGAAGAGGUAAGUGGAACUGCGAGUGUAGAGGUGAAAUUCGUAGAUAUUCGCAAGAACACCAGUGGCGAAGGCGGCUUACUGGUCCGGUUCUGACGCUGAGGCGCGAAAGCGUGGGGAGCAA
rnacentral:rRNA from 1 species